AUUGAACGCUGGCGGCAGACUUAACACAUGCAAGUCGAGCGGGGUGAUGGUGCUUGCACUAUCACUUAGCGGCGGACGGGUGAGUAAUGCUUAGGAAUCUGCCUAUUAGUGGGGGACAACAUCUCGAAAGGGAUGCUAAUACCGCAUACGUCCUACGGGAGAAAGCAGGGGAUCACUUGUGACCUUGCGCUAAUAGAUGAGCCUAAGUCGGAUUAGCUAGUUGGUGGGGUAAAGGCCUACCAAGGCGACGAUCUGUAGCGGGUCUGAGAGGAUGAUCCGCCACACAGGGAGUGAGACACGGCCCAGACUCCUACGGGAGGCAGCAGUGGGGAAUAUUGGACAAUGGGGGGAACCCUGAUCCAGCCAUGCCGCGUGUGUGAAGAAGGCCUUAUGGUUGUAAAGCACUUUAAGCGAGGAGGAGGCUCUUUUGGUUAAUACCCAAGAUGAGUGGACGUUACUCGCAGAAUAAGCACCGGCUAACUCUGUGCCAGCCGCCGCAGUAA
rnacentral:rRNA from 1 species